rnacentral:rRNA from 1 species
AUUGAACGCUGGCGGCAGGCCUAACACAUGCAAGUCGAGCGGAGCGGCGGACGGAUGAGUAAUGCCUAGGAAUCUGCCUGGUCGUGGGGGAUAACGUCCGGAAACGGGCGCUAAUACCGCAUACUAUCAGAUGAGCCUAGGUCGGAUUAGCUAGUUGGGGUGGUAAAGGCCUACCAAGGCGACUAUCCGUAACUGGUCUGAGAGGCUGAUCAGUCACACUGGAACUGAGACACGGUCCAGACUCCUACGGGAGGCAGCAGUGGGGAAUAUUCGACAAUGGGCGAAAGCCUGAUCCAGCCAUGCCGCGUGUGUGAAGAAGGUCUUCGGAUUGUAAAGCACUUUAAGUUGGGAGGCGUUACCAACAGAAUAAGCAACGGCUAACUUCGUGCCAGCCGCCGCGGUAAUAC